rnacentral:rRNA from 1 species
UACUAACUCUUUCUUCGUGCUUAACACAUGCAAGUCGAACGGUAAGGCUCCAGCUUGCUGGGGUACACGAGUGGCGAACGGGUGAGUAACACGUGGGUGACCUGCCCUGCACUUCGGGAUAAGCCUGGGAAACUGGGUCUAAUACCGGAUAGGACCAUGGUGUGGAUACUGUGGUGGAAAGUUUUUUCGGUGUGGGAUGGGCCCGCGGCCUAUCAGCUUGUUGGUGGGGUAAUGGCCUACCAAGGCGGCGACGGGUAGCCGGCCUGAGAGGGUGGACGGCCACAUUGGGACUGAGACACGGCCCAGACUCCUACGGGAGGCAGCAGUGGGGAAUAUUGCACAAUGGGCGGAAGCCUGAUGCAGCGACGCCGCGUGGGGGAUGACGGCCUUCGGGUUGUAAACUCCUUUCACCAUCGACGAAGGGUUUCUGACGGUAGAUGGAGAAGAAGCACCGGCUAACUACGUG